GCUGCGCCUUGGCUGCGAGGGAGGAGGCCGGCACCAAUCAGAGCUCUGGAGGCCAGCCGCCUCCCGGAGACCUUCGGGAGGAGCCCCCUGCUCUCCCCGCCUCCCUGUCCCGAGCUCGCCCUGGACGUCUCUCGGAAGAGAGCUUAACAACACAAAAUGGGCAAAGGAUCUAACGGAUAUUUCUUCAAGGAAGAUAUACAAAUGACCAAUAAACACAUGUAAAGAUACCCGACAUCAUUAGCUAUCAAGGAAAUGCAAAGCAAAACCACAAUGAUGCCGCUUUAUACCCACAAAGCUGGCUACAGUAAAAAAAGAUAGUAACAAGCCUUAGCGAAGAUGUGAAAAGUUGGAACCCUCAUACACUGCUGGUGAGAAUGUAAAUUUCCUCAUUGGAGAACAGUUCAGCAAUUCCUCGAAAGGUUAAACAUACGGUUACCAUAAGACUUAUAAAUUGUAGGUAUAUACCACAUGAAACUUCUACACAAAUGUUCAUAGCAGCAUUGGUCCAUAAAAGCUCCAAAGUGGAAACCCAAAUGUCCAUCAACUACUGAAUGGAUAAAGAAACUGGGGAAUAACCAUGCCACGGAAUGUUAUUCAGCCAUAAGAAGGAAUGAAGUCCUGAUUCAUCCAUUCAGCAUGGAUUCGCCUGAAAAACAUGCUCAGUGAGAGAAGCCAGUCACAAAAGACUGUAUCUUGUACUUACAUGAGAUGCCCAGAAAAAGGCAGACGUAUAAAGCCAAAAUGUAGAUUAGUGGUUGUCUAGGGCCUGGGGGGUCAUGGGGAGAUGGGGAGUGGCUGCUAAGGGGUGUGGGGUUUCUUUUUAAGGUGAUGAAAUGUUGUAAAAUUACUUCCGACUCUGUGAAUAUACUAAACAGCAUUAACUUGUGCACUUUAAGCAGGUGAAUUACACGGUAUGUGAAUUAUAUGCCAAUAAAACUGUCAUUAAAAGAGG